GGCCGGGGGGAAAUUGGGGCUUUUUUAUUGGCGCGCCGCCAAUUGUUGAAUGCUGGCAAAACAAAACCUACUACCAUUCUAUGUUAAGUUGUUGUAACUUGUGCUUGUCUGAAAAACACCAUGUAAAAUGGGAAUUUGUGCUUGUGGUGGCCGAUGUGCGUACGAUGGAACAACAUGGAGUGCUGAUGGGAGCCGCAAAUAGAACGUCGCCGAGAAAAAUCCUGCUGCAAUGCGUUUCCUGCAGCAUUUGCCACCGAUCUCGUCUAAAAUCCAGUUGUGAAGUGCCUGAUAGUGGACUGCAUUUUACUGGCAGCAGGAUUUUUGAAUUAUGUCCGAAUCCAUUCCACAACGCUCCAAGAACAAAGUGUGUAGACGUUUGAUUUUCGAUGACGAUGACGCUCCUGAGAAGCAGCGUAAUGAAGACCUCGACCAUCUGGAUCAGCUAGUGGAUUUGGAAAAAUUGAACGCCACAGAGAAAAGUGAACAAAUGUCGCGGUGGAAUUUCGAUUUUGAUAACGAAAGACCCUUGGAUGGCGACUGGCAGUGGGAACGAGUGUCACCACCUAGUCCAAUCCAACAGCAGGAGCUGAUUAAGACUCUGGAAAUGGAAAAAGAGGACAAGCACAAUGACAGAACUGUCUAGUCCCGAUUAAGUGAGCCUGAACAUUGCCUCAAUACCAAUGUGCAAUUAUUUGUAUUAAUUUUUAGUAAGAGCUAGUCAAUCCACCAAGGGCUGUCUAAUAACUUAUUUAUUUAUUGUCUCUAUCUUUGUAGGAUGUACUUGUCGGUAAACAUGCGCCAGUAUUUUACCUCAUACAGCUAAAUGAACCAAAAAUCAUGUAUAUAAGAUUAGCAGAUAAGUAAUUUCAUACAUAUGAUAAAAUCAA
rnacentral:misc_RNA from 1 species